UUCAUUGAAACUGUUCGUGUUCAAUCCUCCUAAAGUCAACUCCUACUUUAAAUAAACCCUUUCCUUGUUAAGAGUCCUUAAUGCCUAUAACGCACGAAUCAAUACUAUAUAUAGUUUCUAUCACAAAUAUCAAUUCCAUUAAUAUGUUUGAACUCGUGCUGACUGCAAAUAUGGAUGCAUCUUGAAUACUUCAAGCCUCACUCCUAAUUUCCUUCUUACUCGUAAGACCAAAUAUAAUUAGAGAACAUCAAACCCAUCAUUAUAUUGUGCAUUCGGUAGUGCUUAAAAAGUAUAUCUAAUCAUCGUUAGACCUGAGAUACAAGUAUAUAACUUCUAUUUGAAAGAACAUUCAAGGAUGAUCUCUAAAAAAUUGACUGGAGUCUGGAUGUAUAGAGAAGCACAAUUAAGAUUAUUUGAGGAUGCAAAUAAAAUAUGUGAAGUAUAUUUUAAUGGAGAAUAGUAGAAACGGCAAAAAAUAAUCAAAAUAGUCUAAAUGAUUUGGUAUCAAAGGGUUAACGCAAAUACAAAGUCAUGUGGAUUCAAUAUAUAUUGAAGAAGUUAAAGCUAUAGGAGAUCGUAGAACAAGGUCCAAGAAAGAUUGUUUAGACAGUGUGGUUUCCAAUUUCUAAAAGAAAACUCUAUUUCGAUCUUCAACUCUAUUCCAAAAUUUGAACUGAAUAAAUCACUAGAUCAAGAGUAAAUAUCGAUUCCAACCCAAUUAAAAGACCAUCGUUUUGAAUAUAUCUUUAACUUAAAUUAUUUAUUUACACAUGAAGGAAGAGGGAUUUUAGUAUAUUAUUAAUAUAUAAUUUCCCUACAAAUAACUUUAUAAAUGUAUAUUAUAUUCUGGAAAUUUAUACAAGACAAAAUUGUUAGUUAGAGAACAUCAAACCCAUCAUUACAGGAAGUCUACAAGGGACAAAAUCUUCUCCCAAUAAUUUAUAAACUGAGCUUAUGACGAUGUUCUUUACAUUGUUUGCGUUUGCAAUCUCAAUAUCAAUCAAGUUAGUAAGGUAAGGUCUCCCACAGAAAUGUCCGUCCUAAGGGCAAAUCAAAAUUGCAGUCAUUGACCUCCCUUGAUGAUCUCUUGUCUCAUCUAGUGCAACGAAAAUAUCCUUUUCUUCCACCUCUUCUUCUAUUCUAUUCAAAACUCCUUGACAUACUUCUCCAACCAAGUUGUGAACGACCCAUCGACCUGUAGAAGUUUUUCCAGUAUAUUUUUCAAUAAACUUGGAGAAAAUGGGAUGAUCCAGAACAAUUAAGGGGAUGUUACCCUACACAAAUAACUUUGAUACGUCCAAAUUUGAAUGAUGAACCGUUUAAUUCUCCUUCGUCUCCUUGAAUCUUGUGUUUCAUGAAGACUUUUAAGUUGUUGAUGUGAUGGCGGAUUACUUGCCAUAAAGAACGAGAUGGGUACGAGAAACCGCAAAAAUGGCUAGAUAUACUUUUGUUUUCCAAAUCAUAAUUCCACACAUCAGUACCUUCGUUGUGAUGAUGAUGUACGUGAGAGAGCAGUAGAGGGAAGUUGCUUUGCUGAUGAUUAGUCCAAUACUGAGGAAAAGUUCUUCAGAAGAUUCAAGGGCACCAACGUGUUUUAUUCCUUUUUUAUAUAAUCUCUUUCAACUAAUUAAAUUCGUUCUUUUUCAACGAUUCCAAUCAUCAUUUUUCUUUUAUCGUAAAUCGUAAUAUAUAUUCUGGGUAAGGGAUUUUAGGAAAAAAUGACAAGAUAAAAAAAAGGAAAAGUGUCUAAUUGAAAAAAUGGCAAGAUUCUUUUAAACUGAUAUAAUAUCUAUCACCAAUAUAAUAUAUAAUAAGAGAAAAGAAAAAUAAACAAACACGACAGCGGUUCCAAUGGAAGGAAUGCUAAGCACUUAAUUUUCUGUUAUUAAUUACAAUAUCAUUAGACAUGAUGGACUAUUCAUAUUGGACAAGACUCUUGGAUUGACGGACAAACAAUAGCAAAAUACUAUGCAAGAGCAGCGAUUUCCACUUCGUUAUGAUCGAAGAUGUCUCAGAAGAAGAGGUGGUUGGCUGUGGAGCGACAACCCACUGAGAGGAUUCGGGAAGGUAGUCAAAGGUCGAGUCGCUGGAAAGUGCGAGUAAAACUGUAAAGCUGAGUACAGUUGGAGCAAUCUGAAAUUGCAAUAGAACGAUGGUCUUCGUCUCUUCAUAAACCUUAUUUCUUGUCCAAAGAGAACGAAACAGGCUGCAUUACGUAGUUAUCUAAAGGACUCGAAUUCUCGAAGUUGUUUAUCUAGGUCUGUGAAUUCAUACCUCCAAUGUAUCAAGCCAAGUAUGAGAACCAUAAAAAGUGACUUAUAGGAUCUUUCAACGAAUUUUUAAGUGUAUUCUUCUAGUAUGAUACAAUGACAUUUGAAUAUUUAUUUAUUACUCAAGAGAAGUAGAGAUAAGAACUGGAGAACUCCCUGGAUCCCAAAGACAGUGUGUUCAGAGGGAUUUCAUACAAUGGAUCUUCUUAAAAAGCAUUCACAUGUAUGAUAUAGGGAUUCACAUUCGUCCAAUGGUUUCAGGCGAGUCAAACGCCUUCAUCUCCUUUCUACAACGUCAGUUUCCGUUUAAGGGAUAUUCCUUCCUAACUCCCUAGAUGGGAUAUUAUCUCCUUGUAGAGAAGGAUCCUUGAGAGGACAGAUGCCCUUCUGCGAUCUGUGUCGCUUCACACCUAUUGACUCAUUGUCUCUAUGUUCAAGAAUACAUCAUUUCCUACAGAUCUCCUAUGGGUUUAUCAUUGACUUCACAAGAAACAGGAAGCUCCAUAAAAAAUACUCCAACUUAAUUAAAGACUGUAUGUGACUCCGAAACAGAGAGAUUUACUCACUAUUUCCCUCCAUCCUAAACUCCCUUCAUUGAAAUCCGUGUUUCCAUUCCUACUUAAGUCAACACUGCUUCGUCUCUAAGAAAACUAUUUCAACCAUCAGAGUCCUUGAUGUAGAUUACGCAGAAAUAACUUUAUCACAUUUACAUUAAUUCCAUUUAUUAGGCGGAGUCUGUGAUGUACGGUCUACAUGGUCAAUUAUACAAGCUGGGCUCUUUUCUCACUCAAAAACAAGUGGAAGGCGAUUCUAGAAUCUUAAAGAAAAUGUGCCUCUUUAUUCUCUAUAGUUUGCACUGUAAAGUAUAUUAUAUUCUGCUAUUACAUAUAAAUAGUUAUUGUAUCUUGUAUGAAAUCAUCCUCAACAUAUAUUAAAAAAUGAAAGACUUUCACAAA
rnacentral:lncRNA from 1 species